rnacentral:rRNA from 1 species
UACGGGGGGGGGCAAGCGUUGUUCGGAAUUACUGGGCGUAAAGGGCUCGUAGGCGGCCAACUAAGUCGGAUGUGAAAUCCCCAGGCUCAACCUGGGAACUGCAUCCGAUACUGGAUGGCUUGAAUCCGGGAGAGGGAUGCAGAAUUCCAGGUGUAGCGGUGAAAUGCGUAGAUAUCUGGAGGAAUACCGGUGGCGAAGGCGGCAUCCUGGACCGGCAUUGACGCUGAGGAGCGAAAAGCUAGGGGGAGCAAACGGGG